AGGCACUGCCUGGCAAGGCUGCUGGAGGGAGAUCUGGCCGCAGAUGGUGAAGGAGAACAUCGAGGCCCCCAGUCCCCAAGCAGGGCUCCAUGGGUCGGGCGGCGGGCAUUGGCUCGUGGUUACCCGAUGGAGGAAAACUUCUGGGAGAAUCGGCUGGUGAGAUGCCUGACACCGCUCUCCUGGCGUCUGACAUCAAGGAUAUCUUAAUUUUCUUAGUUUUUAAAAAUUAUGGUAAAUACACAAAAGAUGAAAUUUACCAUCUGAAAUACUUCUACGUGUAUGAUUCUGUGGCAUUAAAUACACUCAGAGUGUUGUGCAACCAUCACCACCAUCCAUCUCCAGAACUUUCUUCAUCUUGCAAUCUGAAACUCUGUGUCCACUAACUCCCCUUUCCGCCUCCCCCAGCCCCUGGCAGCCACCAUUCUACUUUCUGUCUCUGAAUUUGACGACUCCAGGUGCCACAUGUGAGUGAAAUCAUACAAUCAUUUGUCUUUUUCCAACUGGCUUCUUUGACUUAGCGUGACGUUCUCAAGGCCCACCUGUGUUGUAGCGUGCGUCAGAACUUCCUUCCUUCUUAGGGCUAACUACUGUCCCCAUUGUAUGGGUAGGCCACACUUUGUUUGCCGUUCAUCCCUCAGACAUCAAGAAUAUCUCACAUAGUAGAAAGAGUCAAAGAAUCCAAUGAGGGCUUCAUC
rnacentral:lncRNA from 1 species